rnacentral:rRNA from 1 species
AGUGAACGCUGGCGGUAGGCCUAACACAUGCAAGUCGAACGGCAGCACAGUAAGAGCUUGCUCUUACGGGUGGCGAGUGGCGGACGGGUGAGGAAUACAUCGGAAUCUACUUUUUCGUGGGGGAUAACGUAGGGAAACUUACGCUAAUACCGCAUACGACCUACGGGUGAAAGCAGGGGAUCUUCGGACCUUGCGCGAUUGAAUGAGCCGAUGUCGGAUUAGCUAGUUGGCGGGGUAAAGGCCCACCAAGGCGACGAUCCGUAGCUGGUCUGAGAGGAUGAUCAGCCACACUGGAAGUGAGACACGGUCCAGAGUCCUACGGGAGGCAGCAGUGGGGAAUAUUGGACAAUGGGCGCAAGCCUGAUCCAGCCAUACCGCGUGGGUGAAGAAGGCCUUCGGGUUGUAAAGCCCUUUUGUUGGGAAAGAAAAGCAGCAGGUUAAUACCCCGCUGUUCUGACGGUACCCAAAGAAUAAGCACCGGCUAACUUCGUG